rnacentral:rRNA from 1 species
UACGUAGGGGGGCAAGCGUUGUCCGGAUUUAUUGGGCGUAAAAGAGCGUGUAGGCGGCUAUACAGGUCAGCUGUGAAAACUCGAGGCUCAACCUCGAGACGUCGGUUGAAACCGUAUGGCUAGAGUCCGGAAGAGGAGAGUGGAAUUCCCGGUGUGAGCGGUGAAAUGCGCAGAUAUCGGGAAGAACACCUAUGGCGAAGGCAGCCUCUCUGGGCCGUAACUGACGCUGAGGAGCGAAAGCAUGGGGAGCGAACAGG